UACGGAGGGAGCUAGCGUUGUUCGGAAUUACUGGGCGUAAAGCGCACGUAGGCGGCUACUCAAGUCAGAGGUGAAAGCCCGGGGCUCAACCCCGGAAUAGCCUUUGAAACUAGGUAGCUAGAAUCUGGGAGAGGUGAGUGGAAUUCCGAGUGUAGAGGUGAAAUUCGUAGAUAUUCGGAAGAACACCAGUGGCGAAGGCGGCUCACUGGACCAGAAUUGACGCUGAGGUGCGAAAGCGUGGGGAGCAAACAGG
rnacentral:rRNA from 1 species